rnacentral:rRNA from 1 species
UCAGAUGUGACAUCCCCGCGCUUAACGUGGGAACUGCAUUUGAAACUGGCAAGCUAGAGUCUUGUAGAGGGGGGUAGAAUUCCAGGUGUAGCGGUGAAAUGCGUAGAGAUGUGGAGGAACACCGAUGGCGAAGGCAGCCCCCUGGGUCAAGAUUGACGCUCAUGCACGAAAGCGUGGGGAGCAAACAGGAUUAGAAACCCUGGUAGUCC